ACGGGUGAGUAAUGUCUGGGAAACUGCCUGAUGGAGGGGGGAUAACUACUGGAAACGGUAGCUAAUACCGCAUAACCUCGCAAGAGCAAAGAGGGGGACCUUCGGGCCUCUCGCCAUCAGAUGUGCCCAGAUGGGAUUAGCUAGUAGGUGAGGUAAUGGCUCACCUAGGCGACGAUCCCUAGCUGGUCUGAGAGGAUGACCAGCCACACUGGAACUGAGACACGGUCCAGACUCCUACGGGAGGCAGCAGUGGGGAAUAUUGCACAAUGGGCGCAAGCCUGAUGCAGCCAUGCCGCGUGUGUGAAGAAGGCCUUCGGGUUGUAAAGCACUUUCAGCGAGGAGGAAGGCAGUCGUGUUAAUAGCACGGCUGAUUGACGUUACUCGCAGAAGAAGCACCGGCUAACUCCGUGCCAGCAGCCGCGGUAAUACGGAGGGUGCAAGCGUUAAUCGGAAUGACUGGGCGUAAAGCGCACGCAGGCGGUCUGUUAAGUUGGAUAUGAAAUCCCCGGGCUUAACCUGGGAACUGCAUUCAAAACUGACAGGCUAGAGUCUUGUAGAGGGGGGUAGGAUUCCAGGUGU
rnacentral:rRNA from 1 species